UGCAGUCGAGUGCGCGCCUGUAGCAAUACAGGUGGCGCACGGCGCACGGGUGCGUAACACGUGGGUAAUCUGCCCUCUGAUGGGGAAUAACCCGCCGAAAGGCGGGCUAAUUCCGCAUAAAAUUCCUUGGACUUAUGUUCGAGGACUCAAAGGCGUAAGUCGUCGGAGGAGGAGCCCGCGCACGAUUAGCUAGUUGGUAGGGUAAUGGCCUACCAAGGCUUUGAUCGUUAGCUGGUCUGAGAGGAUGGCCAGCCACACUGGAACUGAGACACGGUCCAGACUCCUACGGGAGGCAGCAGUGGGGAAUCUUGCACAAUGGGCGAAAGCCUGAUGCAGCGACGCCGCGUGGGGGAUGGAGCAUUUCGGUGUGUAAACCCCUUUCGAUCCGGACGAAUGCCUCGCAAGAGGAGUGACGGUACGGAUAUAAGAAGCCCCGGCUAACUACGUGCCAGCAGCCGCGGUAAGACGUAGGGGGCCAGCGUUGUUCGGAAUUACUGGGUGUAAAGGGUUCGUAGGCGGUGUGGCAAGUUGGGAGUGAAAUCUCUGGGCUCAACCCAGAGACUGCUUCCAAAACUGCUGUGCUUGAGUGUGAGAGAGGCUCGUGGAAUUGCAGGUGUAGCGGUGAAAUGCGUAGAUAUCUGCAGGAACACCCGUGGCGAAAGCGGCGAGCUGGAUCACUACUGACGCUGAGGAACGAAAGCUAGGGGAGCAAACAGGAUUAGAUACCCUGGUAGUCCUAGCCCUAAACGAUCAGGACUUGGGGUGCCACCCGUUCGGGUGUCGUCCCGGAGCUAACGCGUUAAGUCCUGCACCUGGGGAGUACGGUCGCAAGACUGAAACUCAAGGAAUUGACGGGGGCCCGCACAAGCGGAACAUGUGGUUCAAUUCGACGCUACGCGAGGAACCUUACCUGGGCUCGAAAUGCUGGUGACCAGCUGUA
rnacentral:rRNA from 1 species